GAUGAACGCUGGCGGCGUGCCUAACACAUGCAAGUCGAACGGAACUAUUUUGGAAACUCCUUCGGGAGCGGAAUCUUUAGUUUAGUGGCGGACGGGUGAGUAACGCGUGAGCAAUCUGCCUUUAAGAGGGGGAUAACAGUCGGAAACGGCUGCUAAUACCGCAUAAAGCAUUGAAUUCGCAUGUUUUCGAUGCCAAAGGAGCAAUCCGCUUUUAGAUGAGCUCGCGUCUGAUUAGCUAGUUGGCGGGGUAACGGCCCACCAAGGCGACGAUCAGUAGCCGGACUGAGAGGUUGAACGGACACAUUGGGACUGAGACACGGCCCAGACUCCUACGGGAGGCAGCAGUGGGGAAUAUUGCGCAAUGGGGGAAACUCUGACGCAGCAACGCCGCGUGAUUGAAGAAGGCCUUCGUGUUGUAAAGUGCUUUCAGUAGGGAAGAAAAAAAUGACGGUACCUACAGAAGAAGCGACGGCUAAAUAUGUGCCAGCCGCCGCAGUAACAC
rnacentral:rRNA from 1 species